rnacentral:lncRNA from 1 species
GAUAACGCAAGAAAAACCAGGGAUUGUUGAUCACGAGCCACGCUGUAUAAAAGCGACCCUGGGGAUACCUGGGUAUUCAUUCAUCCACCAUGAAGGCUGCGUGUCUAAUUCUCCUCGUCUCUGUCCUGCUCAUCGGAGCAGCGUUUGUCGCUGAUGCUCAGUGUAACGGCAUUUGUCACAACGACCAUGAUUGCUCACACUGCCACGACCAUUGCCACAACGGACAUCAUUGUGUCAGACGCCCUGAUGAGGUCGCUGGCACUUGUUCAUGUCAUCAUUAGUGCUGCAUCUUGGGAAGAGGUGCUGAAUAAACGGCUACCUUGUACUAAGUGUAAAUAAAUGAUACCAAUGAGAA